UGCAGUCGACGAGCCUUCGGGUUAGUGGCGGACGGGUGAGUAACGCGUGAGAAAUGCCCUCAGGAGGGGGAUAACAGUUGGAAACGACUGCUAAUACCCCAUAUGCCGAGAGGUGAAACGAAUUUUGCCUGGGGAUGAGCUCGCGUCUGAUUAGCUUGUUGGUGGGGUAAAAGCCUACCAAGGCUUCGAUCAGUAGCUGGUCUGAGAGGACGAUCAGCCACACUGGGACUGAGAUACGGCCCAGACUCCUACGGGAGGCAGCAGUGGGGAAUUUUCCGCAAUGGGCGCAAGCCUGACGGAGCAACGCCGCGUGAGGGAUGAAGGCCUUUGGGCUGUAAACCUCUUUUCUCAAGGAAGAAGAUCUGACGGUACUUGAGGAAUAAGCCACGGCUAAUUCCGUGCCAGCAGCCGCGGUAAUACGGGAGUGGCAAGCGUUAUCCGGAAUUAUUGGGCGUAAAGCGUCCGCAGGCGGCCGUUUAAGUCUGUUGUUAAAUCGUGGAGCUCAACUCCAUCACGGCAAUGGAAACUGUUCGGCUUGAGUAUGGUAGGGGCAGAGGGAAUUUCCGGUGUAGCGGUGAAAUGCGUAGAUAUCGGGAAGAACACCAGUGGCAAAAGCGCUCUGCUGGGCCAUUACUGACGCUCAUGGACGAAAGCCAGGGGAGCGAAAGGGAUUAGAUACCCCUGUAGUCCUGGCCGUAAACGAUGAACACUAGAUGUUGGGGGAAUCGACCCCUCCGGUGUCGUAGCUAACGCGUUAAGUGUUCCGCUGGGGAGUACGCACGCAAGUGUGAAACUCAAAGAUUGACGGGGCCCG
rnacentral:rRNA from 1 species